AUUGAACGCUGGCGGCAUGCCUUACACAUGCAAGUCGAACGGCAGCACGGGAGCAAUCCUGGUGGCGAGUGGCGAACGGGUGAGUAAAGUAUCGGAACGUGCCCAGUCGUGGGGGAUAACGUAGCGAAAGUUACGCUAAUACCGCAUACGAUCUAUGGAUGAAAGCGGGGGAUCGCAAGACCUCGCGCGAUUGGAGCGGCCGAUAUCAGAUUAGGUAGUUGGUGGGGUAAAGGCUCACCAAGCCGACGAUCUGUAGCUGGUCUGAGAGGACGACCAGCCACACUGGGACUGAGACACGGCCCAGACUCCUACGGGAGGCAGCAGUGGGGAAUUUUGGACAAUGGGCGAAAGCCUGAUCCAGCCAUGCCGCGUGCAGGAUGAAGGCCUUCGGGUUGUAAACUGCUUUUGUACGGAACGAAAAGGUUUGGCCUAAUAAGCUGAGCUCAUGACGGUACCGUAAGAAUGAGCAUCGGCUAACUACGUGCCAGCAGCCGCCGUAA
rnacentral:rRNA from 1 species